UGGUUUCAGAACCAGAGGAAUGACCAGCAUUUGAAGGCUACGUAGAAGAUAUUAUGCUUUUGAGAAGAAGCUUCAACAACUCAGAUAUUGUUCAUGUACCUAGGACGGAAAACACAAAAGCGGAUCGUUUGGCACGCGGAUUCAGCCGUCUUUCGUCAUACACAUGGAUGCAGAGUUGCCACCUUGGUUUACAGAGUCUACAUGAGUUUGUGAAUGUUUGCUGUCAAAAAAAAAUGUUAUCCGCAACGGAUGUGCGGGUUAGAAUCUAGUUUGUCAUUAUUGAAUCUGACCUAAAGUUGAUUUUUUUAUGUUUUGUAGAGAGGAGACUCGAGAUUUGAGGGUCAUGAGAUUUUACGUUUCACCAGAGAACAACUGCUUCAUCUUAAAGAGGCAAUCCAAGUCUCUGAGGCAUCUGAUCUUUCCGGCGAAGAGCAGAGCUGGGGCCGUUCAGAAAGCAAGGUGGGGAGAUGAAGAAUCAAGCCAACGAAGCUUUUAAGGGUCACAAGUUCUCCCAUGCUAUUGAUAUGUAUACAAAAUCUAUAGAACUCAGUGGCAAUAACGUUGUGUACUGGUUUCACUUGAGUGGCUGGAGCUUGCAUAAUGAUAAUUGAGUUUUAACAACUUUUGUGAAAGACGGAAUACUCUCGUCUUUAGCAAAACGUGCAAAGGUUAGCCAUUCACAGAGAACUUACUGACUAAACUUGCAGCUUUCAAGAAUGUAGAGUGUUUUGUGGACUAUAACAGACAUUGGCAUUUGCUUGACAGAAAACAAUGGAAGCGGCGGUGGUCGUGAGCGAAGGAGACGACUGCGGUAAUAGAAAAGGUUUGAUCUUUAGAUGUUGAUAGACUUUAGGUUCUGGUUAGGAGGAAACUUUAAACCUUAUAGUACAUUGUUUUUGUAAUGUUGCAUUGUUUUGUCUGCUGAACAAGAAACUACAUUGACAGGAUCCAUUCACUGAAACUGUAGUUUGCAGGAACUAUCCCCACUUGAUGCUCUGUUCUCUACAACGGUGUUACCUGGCUUGAAGAGAUAGUGUUGAAGAGGAUGUCGGUUACUGAUUUGGUUUUAAAAUGCGUUGAACAAGACCAUGACUCUGGCAAACAUAUGCCGUGUAUGUAGCCUACUCUAACAAGAUCUUACAAUUCGAUGUAGGUAUCAAAUAUCAGGGGAAUGGACAUACAACGAAGCUUGUAAACUAUUUAAAGAGCUUGAUUUCUUAACCGAUAAAGUCCAUAGACUUGGCAAUCUUAGGAAGUGCUUUGGUGUAUGUGUAUUUUGGAUGAUAUAUAAAAUAAUGUGUUUUAUAAGUUUAACUAAGUAUAAAUUUU